rnacentral:rRNA from 1 species
CCAGAGUACUACGAGCUACAGCUUAAAACUCAAAGAACUUGGCGGUGUCCUAUAUCCACCUAGAGGAGCCUGUUCUAUAAUUGAUACUCCCCAAUAAACCUCACCACCAUUAGCCAAACAGCCUAUAUACCACCGUCACAAGCCUAUCCUAUAACGGAAUAAUAAUAGGCUAAAUAGUUUAAAACUAAAAAGUCAGGUCAAGGUGUAACAUAUGUGGUGGAAAGAAAUGGGCUACAUUUUUUACAGAGAAAAUACGAAAUAUUUAAUGAAAAUAAAUAUGAAGGCGGAUUUAGCAGUAAGAAAAAAAUAGAGAGUUUAUCUUAAAUUGGUAAUAGGACAAGCACACACCGCCCGUCACCCUACUCAACUAUAAUGUUAAUAAUAUAUAUAUAAAAAUAAAAUAGAAUAGGAAAGUCGUAACAUGGUAAGUCUACCGGAAGGUGGCCUUGGAAU